CAAUAGCGUAUAUUAAAGUUGCUGCAGUUAAAAAGCUCGUAGUUGCAUUUCCGAGGCAAGGGAUUAGUCCGACCUUUGGUGGGUAUUUAAUCCUCUUGCCUCGUCCUUGAGUGGUGCUUCUUGGUAUUAAGUUAUCGAGGAGAUAGCCGCUCAUCGUUUGCUGUGAGAAAAUUAGAGUGUUCAAAGCAGGCUUGCCGUUGAAUAUAUUAGCAUGGAAUAAUAAGAUAGGACCUCGGUACUAUUUUGUUGGUUUGAGAACCAAGGUAAUGAUGAAUAGGGACAGUUGGGGGUAUUCGUAUUCAGUUGUCAGAGGUGAAAUUCUUAGAUUUACGGAAGACGAACUACUGCGAAAGCAUUUACCAAGGAUGUUUNCAUUAA
rnacentral:rRNA from 1 species